rnacentral:rRNA from 1 species
CUAGCUGGUCUGAGAGGAUGACCAGCCACACUGGAACUGAGACACGGUCCAGACUCCUACGGGAGGCAGCAGUGGGGAAUAUUGCACAAUGGGCGCAAGCCUGAUGCAGCCAUGCCGCGUGUGUGAAGAAGGCCUUCGGGUUGUAAAGCACUUUCAGCGGGGAGGAAGGCGGUGAGGUUAAUAACCUCAUCGAUUGACGUUACCCGCAGAAGAAGCACCGGCUAACUCCGUGCCAGCAGCCGCGGUAAUACGGAGGGUGCAAGCGUUAAUCGGAAUUACUGGGCGUAAAGCGCACGCAGGCGGUCUGUCAAGUCGGAUGUGAAAUCCCCGGGCU